UAAGUGUCUGUGUUUGAUUAUUGUAAGUAUUGUGCCUUUUAUUAACCCCGUUUCGUAAGCAGACAAGCGACUCGUUUUGACAAUAUGCUUAUAAAAUGAAUGCAAUAUCAGCUAAACUGGUUUAUUUAACGAUAGCUUCGAACGCGACAGUAUAUUAAUCGUAAAGUAAGCGUUAGCAUUGAUGCGAUACAUUUUGAGACAUUGAAAAUAGCUUGGCAUAGCGUUUGCUAUACACAUUCAAUGACGAACAUUUUGGAAAAACUUCUUAAGUUUCGAAUGUAUUCUUGGCGAAAAUCAUAUCGCUGCUGGAUGAUCAAAUAAACCGAUUCAUUGAAGCCGAAAUCAAUCACAUCAAAAAAAAGUGAAAUAUUGUGAAGAAAUCAUGACAUCAAAAUCAUUUAAAUCUGCUUCAAUGAAAAAUCUAAGCAAUCCAGCCGCUUCAUUCAUUGUUCCAUUGGAUUUCGAAUCGCUUGGUAACGCAUGUUCCAAACUUUUCGAUGAUCCUCAUCACAAUGAACAAGAAAAGUUAAGAAUAGUUCGACAGAGCCUACAUCGAUACAUUUUCAUCAUAUGCCAUACAAUUCAGCACUUUGGACAUCAUCUCACAACCAACGAAAUUAUUUUGGUGGAAAAAGCAUGUGAAAAAACGCUGCAAUGGAUGUGGCAUUGUGAGACGAAAACUUUGAUUGAUUUUCGACAACAUAUUAUACAAUUACUGCGCAUUUGUACGCCAUUAAUGAAACGUUUAUUCCGUAAUGAACAACAAAGCAAUAUCGAGAGAAAUUGCCAAUAAGAUGUACGCUACAAUUGCGAUUUGUGUUUUGGAAUUUAAUAGAAUGUAUAAUUGUACAUAUUCAAUAUGCAUGUGUAUUGGAAUGUAGAUGAAACGUUUUUAAUCGUUUUUAAUAAAGCAAAAUGCGAUGUAAAAGAAA